UGCCAUGAAAUUGACAUCUUGGUAUAAGGCAAUGCAGUGCAGGAUCCCAUGCCAAUAAGUCAGAGUUUCUUUUAGUCCUAAGAUGAUAAUGUUCUCAGAGGCCCUGCAGCAGACAAAGAAGACAAACUUCUAUCUGAGCUAAUUGGAAUUUAAAUAAAAACUUCAAAAAAAAGAAAGGAGUAUUUUCUAGGAAUGAAGAAGAACUCAUGAAAUCAAUAAUCGUAUUUUAAAUCCUCAAAAGAGAGCACCAAUCAAAUUACUACAGCCAUGCUAUGUAUCAACACACACUUUUGAUGAAUUCACUGCAUGGUAAUCGGGUUUUUUAUUGCAAGCAGCAAAAAUCAUCUCUGACUCUCUCAUGCAGUAAAUAAUGCAUUUUGGAAGAAUGUUAGGUCUUGGAAACCACCAGGAGAUUGGAGAACUUGAUCAGAAGAUGAGCUAAAGCCAGGGGACACCAGGUUGUGGGAACCAGAGAUAGGCCCACAUCCCAAGAACAUCACAGAGAACCUACAUCUCUGACGUAUCUGCCCUCACUCUCCCAUCCCUGCCUCUUUUCCUGCAACAUUCAAUGUUCCCGCCACCACUGCCAGACACAGGGGCUGGGAAAACAAAUUGCAAUCUAUACUUUUCCAGGGGCCUCUUGUUCUAGAUUCAAAGUCUUAAGAAAGAGAUUAUGAGUCAAUAAACUGAGAUUGCUUGCUCACCCCUCACUAUCCAAGGCUGCUGAGAGUGGGAUCUUGCUCCUUCAGAACCUGACUCCUGUAAGAAGCACAUACUCUUCAAAUAGAACUAAGAUACCUGCACAUUUACAAACUUCAAGUAGAUUAACCUUUUCAACCUCUCUCUGUUCAUUGAUUAAUCACUUAGUUAUAUUUCCUACAGUUUCUAACAACUUCAUUUUAUAAUCAUUUUUUUAACAUGCAAUGACAUUGAGUUAUGUAGUGUACAUAUUAUUUUCUAUACUUUACAGACAAAGGUAAUAAUAUCCAAAAUAUUUAACCUACUUGAAUAGUUAAAAAUUUGACCAAGAUUGAGCAUUCUUUCUACUACAUGUAAAUCAUUAGUAUAUUUCUGUUUUCUUUUCUGACCUGCUUCACUUAAGUCAUGUUGUUGGACAAAAUGCUAUAAUUCUCUUACUAAUAAAGUUUGUGUAUGUCAAUUUUUUAUGUGUAACUAACCACUCAUAGAAAGAAUGAAAAAAUACACAAUGCGACUUGA